rnacentral:rRNA from 1 species
GUGACUGCGUACCUUUUGUAUAAUGGGUCAGCGACUUAUAUUCUGUAGCAAGGUUAACCGAAUAGGGGAGCCGGAGGGAAACCGAGUCUUAAUUGGGCGUUAAGUUGCAGGGUAUAGACCCGAAACCCGGUGAUCUAGCCAUGGGCAGGUUGAAGGUUGGGUAACACUAACUGGAGGACCGAACCGACUAAUGUUGAAAAAUUAGCGGAUGACCUGUGGCUGGGGGUGAAAGGCCAAUCAAACCGGGAGAUAGCUGGUUCUCCCCGAAAGCUAUUUAGGUAGCGCCUCGUGAAUUCAUCUCCGGGGGUAGAGCACUGUUUCGGCUAGGGGGCCAUCCCGGCUUACCAACCCGAUGCAAACUGCGAAUACCGGAGAAUGUUAUCACGGGAGACACACGGCGGGUGCUAACGUCCGUCGUGAAGAGGGAAACAACCCAGACCGCCAGCUAAGGUCCCAAAGUCAUGGUUAAGUGGGAAACGAUGUGGGAAGGCCCAGACAGCCAGGAUGUUGGCUUAGAAGCAGCCAUCAUUUAAAGAAAGCGUAAUAGCUCACUGGUCGAGUCGGCCUGCGCGGAAGAUGUAA